rnacentral:lncRNA from 1 species
GAAAGGGCUUACACAACAGCCUAAGAACUAUGAAAUCCAGACUGGACCUUAAAACCACUGGUCGAUCUUGCCAGACUUCCACAGAGGUGAGAAAACUUAAAAUGCUGCAAAAAGACAGAACCAAUUAUCUAUCAAGCACUUGCAUAAUCCUAAAAUAUACCUCUCUACUGUGAAAAUGGGCAAAUUGAAUCUGGAGCAAACCUGUGGUCCCCUGUCAGAUCCCUGAUCUUCCUGAUGCCACAAUUUGGAGGGACACCUGCACCACUCACCUGCUGACACUUGCAUAAUCCCUUGGCUCUACAGCACCUUCAAGCCUUCAUGACAGUCACGUUUUUCUGUGGUUCUUUUCGGUGGCCUUGAAAUGAGUCACAGCAUGUACAUCCUGGUGUCAGGGGGAUUGUGUGUGCUGCCCUCUAUUUGUGUGUAUAUUCUCAUGAAUGAAAGGAAAGUUUGUUCUGUAGAAGUGAUUUGACCUGAAUAGGAAAGCACAAAGUUUCUACCUAUAUGUUAUUUAUUUUUCCUGCUGUUUCUGUACUCAAGUUUUGUCCUAAACUUUUAACUGGAAUUUCUAGCAUGAAAAGUGACUUCUUAUAUUCCUGUAGUUCUUCCAGUCCAUCUUGCAUGCUGACAAGUGAGGCAUGACACCCAUAUAUCCUAAGCAAUUAGUGUAGCACUUCCAAUAAAAGCCUUCCAAAAAUUGGAUGAUGAUCA